GAUGAAGAACGCAGCGAAAUGCGAUAAGUAAUGUGAAUUGCAGAAUUCAGUGAAUCAUCGAAUCUUUGAACGCACAUUGCGCCCCCUGGUAUUCCGGGGGGCAUGCCUGUCCGAGCGUCAUUACAACCCUCAAGCUCAGCUUGGUGUUGGGCCCCGCCGCCCCGGCGGGCCCUAAAGUCAGUGGCGGUGCCGUCCGGCUCCGAGCGUAGUAAUUCUUCUCGCUCUGGAGGUCCGGUCGUGUGCUCGCCAGCAACCCCCAAUUUUUUUCAGGUUGACCUCGGAUCAGGUAGGGAUACCCGCUGAACUUGAGCAUAUCAAUAAGCGGAGGA
rnacentral:misc_RNA from 1 species